AUUUGAUGAUGGGGACACCUAGCACUUAAACGCUUGAAUCUUUUCCAGUACUCAUACAAAGACUCCCUAGUUUGUUGGUGAAUGUCACAGAUUUCAUUCCUGAUGCU